AUUGAACGCUGGCGGCAGGCCUAACACAUGCAAGUCGAGCGAGCGGCGGACGGGUGAGUAAUGUCUGGGAAACUGCCUGCUGGAGGGGGAUAACUACUGUAAACGGUAUCUAAUACCCCAUACCAUCAGAUUUUCCCAGAUGGGAGUAGCUAGUAGGUGGGGUAACGGCUCACCUAGGCGACGAUCCCUAGCUGGUCUGAGAGGAUGACCAGCCACACUGGAACUGAGACACGGUCCAGACUCCGACGGGAGGCAGCAGUGGGGAAUAUUGCACAAUGGGCGCAAGCCUGAUGCAGCCAUGCCGCGUGUGUGAAGAAGGCCUUCGGGUUGUAAAGCACUUUCAGCGGGGAGGCGUUACCCGCAGAAGAAGCACCGGCUAACUCCGUGCCAGCAGCCGCGGUAAUAC
rnacentral:rRNA from 1 species